rnacentral:rRNA from 1 species
ACGGGUGCGUAACACGUGGAUACAUUCCGGGAAGCGGGGGAUAGCCCAGGGAAACUUGGAUUAAUACCGCAUGUGGUCGAAAGACUAAAGACGGGGACCGCAAGGCCUGUCACUUCCCGAUUGGUCCGCGGCCUAUCAGCUAGUUGGCGGGGUAAAAGCCCACCAAGGCUACGACGGGUAGCUGGUCUUAGAGGACGACCAGCCACACUGGAACUGAGACACGGUCCAGACACCUACGGGUGGCAGCAGUCGAGAAUCUUUCACAAUGGGGGCAACCCUGAUGGAGCGACGCCGCGUGGAGGAUAAGGUCUUCGGAUUGUAAACUCCUGUCAUGCGCGAACAAGGUUGCAGAGUUAAUAACUGUGCAAAUUGAUGGUAGCGCAAGAGGAAGAGACGGCUAACUCUGUGCCAGCAGCCGCGGUAAUACAGAGGUCUCAAGCGUUGUUCGGAAUCACUGGGCGUAAAGGGUGCGUAGGUGGCAUGGUAAGUCAGAUGUGAAAGCCUGGGGCUCAACCUCAGAAUUGCAUCCGAUACUGCUGUGCUAGAGUACUGGAGGGGUGACUAGAAUUCUCGGUGUA